rnacentral:rRNA from 1 species
UACGUAGGGUCCGAGCGUUGUCCGGAAUUAUUGGGCGUAAAGAGCUCGUAGGCGGUGUGUCGCGUCGGCCGUGAAAACCUGCAGCUUAACUGUGGGCUUGCGGUCGAUACGGGCAUCACUGGAGUUCGGCAGGGGGAGACUGGAAUUCCUGGUGUAGCGGUGAAAUGCGUAGAUAUCGAGAGGAACACCAGUGGCGAAGGCGAGUCUCUGGACGACUCCUGACACUGAGGCACGAAAGCUGGGGGGAGCAAACAGG